CCAAGCUCCAAAAGUGACCAUCCAGCAACCACAAAUACCAUCAACCCCCUCCCAACCAUUAGGAAAAUCUAUUUUAAAUAGUCAUCCAACACAGAUAUCAAUCUCCGAUGACCAAAUCCCAAAUCAGCAACCAAUUUCUGCAGAGUUAGUUGCUCCUACCCAUGAGGCAGUGACAUCAGUAAGUGUUGACCUCAACUUUGCCCACAUGUAUUCAAAACACUGCAGUGCUCACACAGUACAUUCCAACACCUUGCUGUGAACAAGCAUCAUAAGAUACUGCAGUCAAACUGUAGAGGCAACACCAUAUAUCAACUCAGAAAUUGGUGAAGGGAGUCGUAAAAAGAGAAAAAGAAGGUCAACUGCAAGACCUGACCUCCACCCGAUGUCUAAACCUUCAUACCUAACCCUAACCUAAAUAAGCCUCCAUCAAUUUUUAUCCCUGUUGAAAGUGAAGAAUGUUCAGAUCUAAAUGCAGGGUAGCACUUCUAUAAGUCAGAGGAGCUUAAUUCCCUCCCAAGUGAUGAUGAAGAUAGUUAGUCUGUAGCUUUCCGACAUGGCAAUGCAAAUGCACCAGUUAAGGAGGUCAGGCUAGAGUUAGCUAUGGAGUUUGAAAAUCUAGACUAAUUCAAGAAAGUAGUGAAAAAGUUCAAUAUCAACUUGGGCCGAAGUAUCUUUUUUCCAAGGAUUAAUUCAACAAGGUGCAAGACAAUCUGCUAUGAUGAGAAUUGUCCAUGGCAGAUUACUAUGCCAAGAGCAUUUUUUGUUUAGUUUUCAGGUGAAGACCUUUGUAAACGAACAUAUCUACAGUAGAAUGAACAAGAAUAAAUCAAUAGAUGAGAAAUGGGUUGUAGAUGAGCUUGAGAAUAAGAUCCAAGAUCAAGCAAACAUGACAGUAAGGCAAGCUGAGAAUUUCUUCAAAAAGGAAUAUGAUGUAACUGGGAAUGAGCGAAAGAUUUAUUGAGCUACGGGUAAGGCAAAGGAGAGGAUUGAAGGGUCUGAGAUAGCACAGUAUGCAAUUCUGAGGGACUAUGCGAAGGAGAUGUUAAGGACCAAUCCUGGUUCUACUAUCGCUAUCAGCAAUAAUUAUGUGGAAGGUACAUGAUUUUUGUUCAAAAGGAUCUACAUUUGUUUGGAUGCUUGUAAAAAGGGUUUCUUAGCUAAUUAUCGACCAUUCAUAUGAUUGGAUGGAACCUUUUUAAACGUUAUUAUGGAGGACAUCUGUUGACGGCUAUUGGUCAUGAUGCCAAUAACCACCUGUAUCCAAUAGCUUAUGUCAUUGUGGAGUCUGAGUGCAAGGAUAGCUGGAAAUGGUUUUUGGAACUCCUUUGAGAAGAUCUAAUUGACCACGAUAUAAAUGGGUUCAAUUUUAUAUCGAACAUGAAGACGGAUCUCAUACCCGCUAUAUUAGAAGUGAAUCUUAGAGCACAUAAUAUAUUUUACGCUAUGCACAUUUGGCAAAAUUUCAGGAAACGAUGGAAGUAUAUGGAGAUGAAGAUGACAAUGUGGAGAUGUGCCAAGGCCUUAAUACCUCAAGACUUCAACUUCGUAAUGGAUAGAUUGGGAAGGGUUAAUCCUCAUGCAUGGGAUUAUUUGAAUAGGAUACCCUCACACUAAUAGAGUAAGUCAAGGUUUAGUGAGUAUCCAAAAUCUGAUAACUACACUAACAAUAUCUGCGAGUCAUUCAACUCUAGAAUCAAGAAGAUGAGGGAAAAGCCUAUAAUAACCAUGUUGGAGGAAAUUAGAUGUUAUGUGAUGGGUAUUAUUGCCAGAAAUAAGAAGGUUUUAGUCAAUUAUUGUGGGUUGAUCAUUUCUGUACAGCAAAGUAGGUUGGAAAAAGAAAAAAGGGAAAGCAACAAAUGGAGACCACUACCAACAGGAGAUGACCCUGAAAACAUAUAUGAAAUUCAAUGCUUGUCACACAAGGUUAUAGUGAACUUAGGUAAAAUGACAUGCAAUGGCAGAUUUUAGCAACUAACUGGAUUGUCAUGUAGGCAUGCAUGUGCUGCCCUUGCAUAUCAAAAUAGGAGGCCCAAAGAAUAUGCUCACAACUGGCUUAGUAUGGGUGCAUAUCAUAGCGCUUACAAAUUUGUGAUCCAGCCUAUACCUUGUCAGGAGUAUUGGGAGCAUGUGAAUAUACCUCCAGUACUACUUCUAGUGUAUAAGAAACUAGCAGGAAGACCUAAGUUGACCAGAGACAAAAGAAAUGAUGCUCCCAAAGACUUGAAACUAGAUCCUUAUAGAGAAAAAUAAAAAUACGGUACUAUCACCUACAAGUAUUACUUACAGAGUAGCCACAACAGUUGUAAUUGCACUAAGAAGAAGGAAGCAAUGGCUACUGCUGCAGGAGGGCAGCCUCUAACUUAACAACCAGGUGCAGAAGACCAACAUGAAACUGAUUUUGCAGAUGAUGAUGAGGCAAAUAGGAUUCAAGAGAUGUUUUGAGAGAAAUUUUUGGAAGCUGUUGAAGCGACUGAGGUAUCUCCUCCAAUGCUACAACCUACUACCGCUCCAAUUAAUCCUGAUCCAAUUAGGCUUCCAAGGAUGAAUCAGCCAUUUAAGCCACCAGUUACUAACAAAUUCCAAAAAAAAAAAAGAAAUUUGAAAAGACUACCUCCAAGUACUCAAUAUGUCAACUAAGCACAACCAACUUUUCAACCACCCAUGAAGCCACUAACACCAAAUGCUCAACCACAAUCUACUGUCACAUCUCAAACAAUGCAAGAAAUAUCUCAAGAAAUUACUAGUAGGUUCAUGACUUUCAUGCCAACUCCUACUGUUAGAGGUUCAAAUGCAAUCAAGUGGCCCCAACCAGGAUUUAGAGCACCAGCAAGACAUCGGUCAACCAUUGCAACUAUUAAUGGAGGAUCAAGUGGAAGUAACAACUUCGCACCAAACCCCUGAAGCACCUGCAGUAGCUUUAGGUUGUUUAUGAUAUUGACAAUAAACUUCUUGCUAUUUAUGUGUGGUUCAUUUUUUGUUGAAGGAUUUGUUUCAUGACUAGACUUCUUGCUGUUUAUGUGUGGUUCAACUUUAGACAUCAUAUUAUUUUUUUAGUACUUUUGCUUUGGCUUAUCACAUUGAAAGAGAUACGUUACUCUUGCCUCUUUUGGACAAAUAAUGCGU